rnacentral:misc_RNA from 1 species
UCCCCGUUACCGGGGCAGUCCAAGUAGAAAAAUACAACUACUUGCAAGGGUUGCGCUCGUUGAUGGACUUAACCAAACAUCUCACGACACGAGCUGACGACGGCCAUGCAUCACCUGUCACCUUGUACUCUAACCCGGCACUCACUCCUUUCGGAGUAAUUCUCAGGAUGUCAAGCCCUGGUAAGGUUCUUCGCUUACCAUCGAAUUAAACAACACGCUCCACCGCUUGUGCGGGUCCCCGUCAAUCCCUUUGAGUUUUAGUCUUGCGACCGUACUCCCCAGGCGGGAUGCUUAACGCGUUAGCUUCGCUACUGAAGCGGGUCGAUACGCCCAACAGCUAGCAUCCAUAGUUUACGGCGUGGACUAC